rnacentral:rRNA from 1 species
GUGAGGAAUAUUGGUCAAUGGGCGAUGGCCUGAACCAGCCAAGUAGCGUGCGGGAUGACGGCCCUAUGGGUUGUAAACCGCUUUUGCAGGGGAAUAAAGUGCGGUACGCGUACCGUUUUGUAUGUACCCUGAGAAUAAGGACCGGCUAAUUCCGUGCCAGCAGCCGCGGUAAUACGGAAGGUCCGGGCGUUAUCCGGAUUUAUUGGGUUUAAAGGGAGCGCAGGCUGGAUAUUAAGCGUGACGUGAAAUGCCGCGGCUCAACCGUGGAAGUGCGUCGCGAACUGGUGUCCUUGAGUGUAUUCGACGUCAGCGGAAUUCGUGGUGUAGCGGUGAAAUGCUUAGAUAUCACGAAGAACUCCGAUUGCGAAGGCAGCUGGCGAGGCUACAACUGACGCUAAAGCUCGAAGGUGCGGGUAUCGAACAGGAUUAGAAACCCUAGUAGUCC